UACAGAGGUCUCAAGCGUUGUUCGGAUUCAUUGGGCGUAAAGGGUGCGUAGGUGGCGGGGUAAGUCAGGUGUGAAAUCUCGGGGCUCGACCCCGAAACUGCACUUGAUACUGCCUUGCUCGAGUACUGGAGAGGAGAUUGGAAUUUACGGUGUAGCAGUGAAAUGCGUAGAUAUCGUAAGGAAGACCAGUGGCGAAGGCGAAUCUCUGGACAGUUACUGACACUGAGGCACGAAGGCCAGGGGAGCAAACGGG
rnacentral:rRNA from 1 species